rnacentral:rRNA from 1 species
GUGGGGAAUAUUGCGCAAUGGGCGAAAGCCUGACGCAGCGACGCCGCGUGAGGGACGACGGCCUUCGGGUUGUAAACCUCUUUCAGCUCCGACGAAGCGCAAGUGACGGUAGGAGCAGAAGAAGCACCGGCCAACUACGUGCCAGCAGCCGCGGUAAUACGUAGGGUGCAAGCGUUGUCCGGAAUUAUUGGGCGUAAAGAGCUCGUAGGCGGUCUGUCGCGUCGGCUGUGAAACCUCGGGGCUCAACCCCGAGCCUGCAGUCGAUACGGGCAGACUAGAGUUCGGUAGGGGAGACUGGAAUUCCUGGUGUAGCGGUGAAAUGCGCAGAUAUCAGGAGGAACACCGGUGGCGAAGGCGGGUCUCUGGGCCGAUACUGACGCUGAGGAGCGAAAGCGUGGGGAGCGAACAGG